GACGAACGCUGGCGGCGUGCUUAACACAUGCAAGUCGAACGGAAAGGCCCUGCUUUUGUGGGGUGCUCGAGUGGCGAACGGGUGAGUAACACGUGAGUAACCUGCCCUUGACUUUGGGAUAACUUCAGGAAACUGGGGCUAAUACCGGAUAGGAGCUCCUGCUGCAUGGUGGGGGUUGGAAAGUUUCGGCGGUUGGGGAUGGACUCGCGGCUUAUCAGCUUGUUGGUGGGGUAGUGGCUUACCAAGGCUUUGACGGGUAGCCGGCCUGAGAGGGUGACCGGCCACAAUGGGACUAAGAUACGGCGCAGACUCCUACGGGAGGCAGCAGUGGGGAAUAUUGCACAAUGGGCGGAAGCCUGAUGCAGCAACGCCGCGUGCGGGAUGACGGCCUUCGGGUUGUAAACCGCUUUCGCCUGUGACGAAGCGUGAGUGACGGUAAUGGGUAAAGAAGCACCGGCUAACUACGUG
rnacentral:rRNA from 1 species